GACGAACGCUGGCGGCGUGCUUAACACAUGCAAGUCGAACGGAAAGGCCCUGCUUUUGUGGGGUGCUCGAGUGGCGAACGGGUGAGUAACACGUGAGUAACCUGCCCUUGACUUUGGGAUAACUUCAGGAAACUGGGGCUAAUACCGGAUAGGAGCUCCUGCUGCAUGGUGGGGGUUGGAAAGUUUCGGCGGUUGGGGAUGGACUCGCGGCUUAUCAGCUUGUUGGUGGGGUAGUGGCUUACCAAGGCUUUGACGGGUAGCCGGCCUGAGAGGGUGACCGGCCACAUUGGGACUGAGCUACGGCCCAGACUCCUACGGGAGGCAGCAGUGGGGAAUAUUGCACAAUGGGCUGAAGCCUGAUGCAGCAACGCCGCGUGCGGGAUGACGGCCUUCGGGUUGUAAACCGCUUUCGCCUGUGACGAAGCGUGAGUGACGGUAAUGGGUAAAGAAGCACCGGCUAACUACGUG
rnacentral:rRNA from 1 species